rnacentral:tRNA from 3 species
GUAGGUAUAGUUUCAACAAAAACAUUAGAUUGUGAUUCUAAAAACAGAGGUUAAAAUCCCCUUACCCACC